rnacentral:rRNA from 1 species
UGGGGAAUCUUGGACAAUGGGCGCAAGCCUGAUCCAGCCAUGCCGCGUGAGUGACGAAGGCCUUAGGGUUGUAAAGCUCUUUUGCCGGGGACGAUAAUGACGGUACCCGGAGAAUAAGUCCCGGCUAACUUCGUGCCAGCAGCCGCGGUAAUACGAAGGGGACUAGCGUUGUUAGGAAUUACUGGGCGUAAAGCGCACGUAGGCGGAUUUGUCAGUCAGGGGUGAAAUCCCGGAGCUCAACUUCGGAACUGCCUUUGAUACAGCAAGUCUCGAGUCCGAUAGAGGUGGGUGGAAUUCCUAGUGUAGAGGUGAAAUUCGUAGAUAUUAGGAAGAACACCGGUGGCGAAGGCGGCCCACUGGAUCGGUACUGACGCUGAGGUGCGAAAGCGUGGGGAGCAA